UCGAGCGGACAGAUGGGAGCUUGCUCCCUGAUGUUAGCGGCGGACGGGUGAGUAACACGUGGGUAACCUGCCUGUAAGACUGGGAUAACUCCGGGAAACCGGGGCUAAUACCGGAUGGUUGUUUGAACCGCAUGGUUCAAACAUAAAAGGUGGCUUCGGCUACCACUUACAGAUGGACCCGCGGCGCAUUAGCUAGUUGGUGAGGUAACGGCUCACCAAGGCAACGAUGCGUAGCCGACCUGAGAGGGUGAUCGGCCACACUGGGACUGAGACACGGCCCAGACUCCUACGGGAGGCAGCAGUAGGGAAUCUUCCGCAAUGGACGAAAGUCUGACGGAGCAACGCCGCGUGAGUGAUGAAGGUUUUCGGAUCGUAAAGCUCUGUUGUUAGGGAAGAACAAGUACCGUUCGAAUAGGGCGGUACCUUGACGGUACCUAACCAGAAAGCCACGGCUAACUACGUGCCAGCAGCCGCGGUAAUACGUAGGUGGCAAGCGUUGUCCGGAAUUAUUGGGCGUAAAGGGCUCGCAGGCGGUUUCUUAAGUCUGAUGUGAAAGCCCCCGGCUCAACCGGGGAGGGUCAUUGGAAACUGGGGAACUUGAGUGCAGAAGAGGAGAGUGGAAUUCCACGUGUAGCGGUGAAAUGCGUAGAGAUGUGGAGGAACACCAGUGGCGAAGGCGACUCUCUGGUCUGUAACUGACGCUGAGGAGCGAAAGCGUGGGGAGCGAACAGGAUUAGAUACCCUGGUAGUCCACGCCGUAAACGAUGAGUGCUAAGUGUUAGGGGGUUUCCGCCCCUUAGUGCUGCAGCUAACGCAUUAAGCACUCCGCCUGGGGAGUACGGUCGCAAGACUGAAACUCAAAGGAAUUGACGGGGGCCCGCACAAGCGGUGGA
rnacentral:rRNA from 2 species